rnacentral:misc_RNA from 1 species
GAUGAAGAACGCAUCGAAAUGCGAUAAGUAAUGCGAAUUGCAGAAUUCCGUGAGUCAUCGAAUCUUUGAACGCACAUUGCGCCCUUUGGCAUUCCGAAGGGCAUGCCUGUUCGAGCGUCAUUUAUCAACCCUCAAGCCCGGCUUGCGGUUGGGUCCCGCCGUGGGCGACCACGGCGGACCCGAAAGGUAAUGGCGGUGCCCGUGGGGCCCUGGACGCAGCGAGCUUCUCGGCACGCGUCCCGGCGGUCCCCGGCGCCGUCUCCACCAAUCCACCACGCAGAUUGACCUCGGAUCAGGUAGGGAUACCCGCUGAACUUAAGCAUAUCAAUAAGCGGAGGA